rnacentral:rRNA from 1 species
UACGUAUGUCCCGAGCGUUGUCCGGAUUUAUUGGGCGUAAAGCGAGCGCAGACGGUUGAUUAAGUCUGAUGUGAAAGCCCGGAGCUUAACUGCGGAGGGGCAUUGGAAACUGGGUGACUUGAGUGCAGAAGAGGAGAGUGGAAUUCCAUGUGUAGCGGUGAAAUGCGUAGAUAUAUGGAGGAACACCAGUGGCGAAGGCGACUUUCUGGACUGUAACUGACGCUGAGGCUCGAAAGUGUGGGUAGCAAACAGG